rnacentral:rRNA from 1 species
UACGAGAGGCCCAAACGUUAUUCGGAAUUACUGGGCGUAAAGCGCACGUAGGCGGCUUUGUAAGUUAGAGGUGAAAGCCCGGGGCUCAACUCCGGAAUUGCCUUUAAGACUGCAUCGCUAGAAUUGUGGAGAGGUAAGUGGAAUUCCGAGUGUAGAGGUGAAAUUCGUAGAUAUUCGGAAGAACACCAGUGGCGAAGGCGACUUACUGGACACAUAUUGACGCUGAGGUGCGAAAGCGUGGGGAGCAAACAGG